GGCUGAUCCUAAGGUAGUGAGUUAUCUCAAUCGACUGUUCAGUCAGUUACAGAUCAACCUCCUUGUUCCACUUUGUUCCUUGUUCCACUUGUUUCUCUUCUUCCACUAUUCCACCUGACUAGUCCAAA
rnacentral:Y_RNA from 1 species